GACGAACGCUGGCGGCGUGCUUAACACAUGCAAGUCGAACGGAAAGGCCCUGCUUUUGUGGGGUGCUCGAGUGGCGAACGGGUGAGUAACACGUGAGUAACCUGCCCUUGACUUUGGUAUAACUUCAGGAAACUGGGGCUAAUACCGGAUAGGAGCUCCUGCUGCAUGGUGGGGGUUGGAAAGUUUCGGCGGUUGGGGAUGGACUCGCGGCUUAUCAGCUUGUUGGUGGGGUAGUGGCUUACCAAGGCUUUGACGGGUAGCCGGCCUGAGAGGGUGACCGGCCAAAUUGGGACUGAGAUACGGCACAGACUCCUACGGGAGGCAGCAGUGGGGAAUAUUGCACAAUGGGCGGAAGCCUGAUGCAGCAACGCCGCGUGCAGGAUGACGGCCUUCGGGUUGUAAACCGCUUUCGCCUGUGACGAAGCGUGAGUGACGGUAAUGGGUAAAGAAGCACCGGCUAACUACGUG
rnacentral:rRNA from 1 species